UAUCUAUAAGAUGCUUUAUUCCUAAUUGCCUCCAACAACUUCUUCCCCCACUUAAUUGAAAGAAGAACUAUUUUCCAUGAGAACAUAAAUUCAGGACAAGGAUGAAACCAAAUGACCCACUUAGUCUAUUUGGUCUAGUUCAGAGUUUUCAACUCCAGCACCAUCAACACUGCAGUGGAUAAUCUUCUAUUGUGGGGGACCACCACAUUCACUGAAGGAUGUUUAAUAGCAUCUUUGGCCUUUACCCAGCAGACAUUAGUAGCAUCCCAGUUAUAACAGCCCCAGAUGCCUCUAGGCAAAGCCAAAUGUCUCCUGAGAGCGGAGACUUGGCAAAAUUGUCAUAGUUGAGGACCACUUGCUGAUGUUUUCUUAUUUGAGAAAAUACAUUAUGAUGAAAUUCCAUAGUCCAGACAAGAAGGAAGAAAUUGGCUUCAAGUGACACGGCAACCAAUGUCUGAAGAAGACAUGGUGAUCUUCUUGAACCUUCAUAAUGAAGCACAUCAGCUCUGUCAAAAUCAGGACAGAAUCAUAAUUCUGUGGGGAAUGUAUGUUUCCCAUCACUUAUGUGGCUCUGGAACUUAACCAAAACCCCUAAGUACGGCAGUACUUUGCAUGUUUUACAAAGGGGGAAACUGAAGCCCCACUAAGUUGUGAUGUGUGACCCGGGACUCAGGCUGAGAGCAGGGCACAGCCAGAGAGAACAAGAGAGAGGAGAAUUCCUGAGAGAUGUUUAUAUCAAGUUGAGUCUUCAGAACCAUACAGCUGUGAGUCUGGAAGGCAUCUGCUAACUCCUGUGUUCUGCACUGUGGGUUAUGAGGUUGAGGGUGGGGAAUGGAUUGCUUAGGGCAUCUACAGAGAUCCUUAGCUUCUGAGUUGCAGGGGAGGAGAAGAUGGGAUGGAAACAGGCAAGAAAACUCUGGAAGAAAGAACUAAGAUGUCUAGUGGAAGAUUCCAUUGCUUCUACUGUGUGCUGGUGCUGUGAGUUCUCCCUGUUGAAUACUCAUGAAAUCUUGCAUAAAAUGUGCAUUUUUCAUUAUUGCAUCAUGGAGCUGGCUCAGCCACUGGAUGUGGGGACUAGGUCUCAAGGCAGCUUCAGGAAGCUGGCUCUUGAGGUCUGGUUCGUCUAGGUUGCUAUAUUGAUCAUAAGAGCAUGGUAGAGCCAGACUCACCAGGAUGUUCCUAUCACCAGACACCCUACACUUAUCAGCAACUGUCAACUUAUGAGGCAGAUGAUUUAUUUUGCUGUUUUGCAGUUCUGGAAAGUGAAGCUCAGGAAAGUGAUGCCACUUUCCCAAGACUGACAAGGUAGUAUAUAGUAGAGCUGGCAAGCCCAGCCUCUUAACUGCAACAGACUUCCUCCUGAGGAAAGAAGGCAGGCUUCAUAUAUUUUUCUGUUUUUAGGUUUCUUCACUGGACAGAGGAAAAUACUCUCUGGAGGCAAAAAAAUAUACAGGGGUUUCACUUCAACCAAUGACAUCAGUCUCACUUCAGGUAGGGUAGGGCAGACCUGGGAGAAAUGGCUUCCUCCAUCAGACUGGGUCUUGUGCAUUCCUCAGGAUUCCUCUAGAGACCAGGCAAACACAUGACUGUCCUCAGGCCGUUGCUCUCCUUAUAUUCUAUAAGGAGGGCUUAGUGACUGCUGUAUCAGUCCUUUGUGGUGAAAUUUGGGAGUGACCAUAUUAGCAACCCCAUCAGUAUAGAUUGUCUGGUCUUGUCUUUGCUGCUGAAGUCUGUGUGUGCAAAGGCACUCAUCCAGCAGUUAAAUGGUCUCUGAAAGCUGGCACUUCAGAUAGAAAUGUUCCUUAACUUUCAAUGGGUUAUGUCCCAGAAAAUCCAUCUUAAACUGAAAAUAUCCUAAAUCCAAAGUGCACUUAAUCCACCAAGCCUAUCACACAUCCUAUAGCUGAGCAACACAGCACGCUGUAGACCAUUGGCUAUGCUCCUUGCUAUUGGUUGGGCUGACUGGAGGCUGUGAUUAGCACUGCCCAGUGUCACAAGGGAGGAUCAGAUGGCAUAAAACUAUCCUGGGGAAAAAUCCAAAUUAAUAGUUCCAAGUAUGGCUUCUAUGGAAUACAUGUUGCUUUCCCGUCAUCAUAAAGUAAAAACAAACAAACAAACAACAAUCCCAAACAAACCCAAAAAACAAUAAUCAUAAAUCAGAACCAUUGUAAGUCAGAACCACUGCACCAGUGAUGAAUGCUGCCAUGUUUGGAAGAGACUGGAAGUCAGUAUGGUGGCCUUGGCUACUGUUUGGAGGUUUCAAGAAGCGUAUCAAGGAGAAGCAAAGAAGAAUCAAGAACUCUUUCCAAGAGAUACAAGAUCUGGAUCUGAGGAGGAGCAGAAAACUGGCCCCCAAACCGCAACAUGAACCCAGCAAGCCUGGCUCAAGUUGGAGGAGCCAAGAGUGAAAACCCGGUGAGCAUUCACGAUCAAGUUCGGGUACAUUAUAUGCACAGUCAGCUUUUGCAAACGGUCUUGGAGAUGACACCAGAGUGUGACACACACUUACCACUUUCCCAGAGAGCUGGUCAGAUGUGUACUCAGGAAAAGGAAAUACACAAAAACUGUUAGUAAACACUUUUGGGACUCUGGGGAAGGAGUGAGCCAUUCAAGUGUGUGUGUGUGU